rnacentral:lncRNA from 1 species
GACUCGCUUGAACCUGGGGAGGUGGAGUUGCAGUGAGCUGAGAUUGAGCCACUGCACUCUAGCCUGGCGACAGAGUGAGACUCGGUCUCAAAAAAGAAAAAAAAGGCGGGGCGGCGGGGGAUUAAAACACAAAUAAGAGUUUGCCACUAGCAAAAAAGGAAGAGAUAGGUCUUGUAAAGCCAUGUUGAAAUUGGAUGCUGGGUGAACGGCUAGGUUUCCUUACCAGCCAAGUGUCUUAGUCAGUUUGUGCUGCUAUAAAGGGUGAGGGUGAGUAAUUUAUAAAGGAAAGAGGUUUAUCUGGCUCACAUUCUGCAGGCUGUACAAGAAACAUGGUGCCAGCAUCUCCUGGUGAGAAAGUCAGAUUGCUUCUACUCAUGGUGGAGAGGGAAGGAAAGAAGUGCGGGCAGAAAUCACACGGCAGGGAAGAAACAAGAGAGAGGGAAGGAGGUGCCAGACUUUUUUCAACAACCACUUCUUGUCGCUCCUACAAGAAUCUCACCAAGUCAUUGAUGAGGGAUCCACCCCAUGACCCAAACACCCCCAAGCAUCCCCCACCACCAACACUGGAGAUCAAAUUUCAACAUGAGACUUGACAGAGCCAAACAGACCAUGUUUAAAGCAUAGCACCAAGAAAGCAGUUUAUUCUCACUUGCCUAGAGUAGGAGUGAUUCAAGUUAAAAAUGCAUUUGUGGCCCUGGAACACUUCAAGUGUAUUAAAUGCCAAGUGUAUGUGGUAAUUAACGUAAAAUAUAAUGUAAUGUAACUUACUUAUACUUAUUAAUUGACUUCUGUUUCUCCUCACUAUAAAUUGUCAGCAUGCAGUUUUACUUCAAAUAAUAAUCCUUCUAAGUAUACCCAAUAAAAAAUAAUACCCAGAUGACUCACAUGAAAACAAAAAUUUAUUCAAAUUACCUCAAAUUUUAGAAAAUAAACUAAGAUUGACAUAGUCACCCAUUGCUCUUGUAAUUAUGAGGUUGACACCAAAUACACAUUAAUCAAUCAAAUAAAGAGUCUCAAUAGUCCGAGAUUCACGUGACCAACUGAACCAACCUUGUACAAAAUCAUUCAUUUUUUUUCUUUUGCCAAACGUAACAUAUACACAAUCUAUUUUGCUAUCGUUUAAUUUUAUAAGAAGAAAGUAAGGUCCAAAUUAGAGGCUUCUUUUGGUUAAUUUUUCCACAAACAUGUCUUACAGUAAAGGGCAUUUUCCCUUUAUCUUUUAGCUAUAUUUCUCCAGAUGAUCAAAUUAGUUGUGAAAAAGUAUUGGUUGUUUGGAGUGAAAAUGAUGAGCACCGGAAACACAUUAUCCUAAAAGAGAGAAAUGUUUAAUAUUUACAUUUCAUAGCAAGAAAUAUUGUACCUGGCUAAAAUAAACUGAGAAGUAGUUUACCAAUAAUGGUCUAUUGUCAUACUAAUAGAGAUAGGUCUUGUAAAGCCAUGUUGAAAUUGGAUGCUGGGUGAACGGCUAGGUUUCCUUACCAGCCAAGUGUCUUAGUCAGUUUGUGCUGCUAUAAAGGGUGAGGGUGAGUAAUUUAUAAAGGAAAGAGGUUUAUCUGGCUCACAUUCUGCAGGCUGUACAAGAAACAUGGUGCCAGCAUCUCCUGGUGAGAAAGUCAGAUUGCUUCUACUCAUGGUGGAGAGGGAAGGAAAGAAGUGCGGGCAGAAAUCACACGGCAGGGAAGAAACAAGAGAGAGGGAAGGAGGUGCCAGACUUUUUUCAACAACCACUUCUUGUCGCUCCUACAAGAAUCUCACCAAGUCAUUGAUGAGGGAUCCACCCCAUGACCCAAACACCCCCAAGCAUCCCCCACCACCAACACUGGAGAUCAAAUUUCAACAUGAGACUUGACAGAGCCAAACAGACCAUGUUUAAAGCAUAGCACCAAGAAAGCAGUUUAUUCUCACUUGCCUAGAGUAGGAGUGAUUCAAGUUAAAAAUGCAUUUGUGGCCCUG